rnacentral:rRNA from 1 species
UACGUAGGGGGCCAGCGUUGUCCGGAAUCAUUGGGCGUAAAGCGCGCGUAGGCGGUCAGGUAAGUCCGGUGUGAAAGUCAAAGGCUCAACCUUUGAAUGCCGCUGGAUACUGCUUGACUUGAGUCCGGAAGGGGCGAGUGGAAUUCCUGGUGUGAGCGGUGAAAUGCGCAGAUAUCGGGAGGAACACCGGUGGCGAAGGCGGUUCUCUGGGCAGUAACUGACGCUGAGGAGCGAAAGCGUGGGGAGCGAACAGG